rnacentral:tRNA from 1 species
UGCAUCGGCCGGGAAUCGAACCGCGUGGCCGGCGAGCAUUCUCGCCAUUGAACUACCGAUGU